AUGCAAAGGAUACAAUUUAGCAAUAUUUAUCAAAAACCUAUAGUAUUUACUGUUGAACCCAGAAAUAUCGCUUCUGAGAAUUUAUCAUAAAGAAAAAUGGAGUCAAUUAUGCAGAAAAUACUUCAAAAGAGAAGUCAAGGCACACCCUUCCCCUUUAAGCCAAAAAAAGCAUGACCAUAAAAAGAAACAAACCUCUGUCAGACGAAUCAAA